rnacentral:rRNA from 1 species
AUUGAACGCUGGCGGCAGGCCUAACACAUGCAAGUCGAACGGUAACAGGAAUCAGCUUGCUGAUUUGCUGACGAGUGGCGGACGGGUGAGUAAUGUCUGGGAAACUGCCUGAUGGAGGGGGAUAACUACUGGAAACGGUAGCUAAUACCGCAUAACGUCGCAAGACCAAAGAGGGGGACCUUCGGGCCUCUUGCCAUCGGAUGUGCCCAGAUGGGAUUAGCUAGUAGGUGGGGUAACGGCUCACCUAGGCGACGAUCCCUAGCUGGUCUGAGGGGAUGACCAGCCACAAUGGGACGGAGACAUGGUCCAGACUCCUACGGGAGGCAGCAGUGGGGAAUAUUGCACAAUGGGCGCAAGCCUGAUGCAGCCAUGCCGCGUGUAUGAAGAAGGCCUUCGGGUUGUAAAGUACCUUCAGCGGGGAGGAAGGGGGUAAAGUUAAUACCUUUGCUCAUUGACGUUACCCGCAGAAGAAGCACCGGCUAACUCCGUGCCAGCCGCCGCCGUAA